CCUACGGGAGGCAGCAGUGAGGAAUAUUGGUCAAUGGGCGCUAGCCUGAACCAGCCAAGUAGCGUGAAGGAUGACUGCCCUAUGGGUUGUAAACUUCUUUUAUAUGGGAAUAAAGUGCAGUAUGUAUACUGCUUUGCAUGUACCUUAUGAAUAAGUAUCGGCUAACUCCGUGCCAGCAGCCGCGGUAAUACGGAGGAUCCGAGCGUUAUCCGGAUUUAUUGGGUUUAAAGGGAGCGUAGGCGGGUUGUUAAGUCAGUUGUGAAAGUUUGCGGCUCAACCGUAAAAUUGCAGUUGAUACUGGCAGCCUUGAGUACAGUAGAGGUAGGCGGAAUUCGUGGUGUAGCGGUGAAAUGCUUAGAUAUCACGAAGAACUCCGAUUGCGAAGGCAGCCUGCUGAACUGUAACUGACGCUGAUGCUCGAAAGUGUGGGUAUCAAACAGGAUUAGAUACCCCGGUAGUC
rnacentral:rRNA from 1 species